rnacentral:piRNA from 1 species
UAUCACAACCGACUCCACAGUCAAAGUGCCUU